GGUGCUGUGGCUCAAGUGGUAGAGCGUUAGCCUUGAGCUGAAGAGUUGAGGGACAGCACCA
rnacentral:tRNA from 1 species